CCGAUAUCCCAGCAAAAUAAACCCUAAUCGUGUUUUGGGCAAAGACAUCGAAGUUCAGCGUUCGUUUCUUUCUCCGUCCAGCGGCGACGUCUGAGCUUUAUCACUGAAUAUGAAACGGUCGGAGUUAUGUGUUUUUCGUGUGGUGUUCCUUAUUAAUUCAAUCUCCAAUCAUCUUCGCACCCUUAGCAUUCAGAAGUAUCUUCUGAUUAGCUAAUUAUAGCAGUGGAUCUCCCAGAUUCCUUUUAUCUAGCGUUUUCAGCGGUACUCAUACCAGCCACCGUCGAUGUUAACCGACUUGCCACCUACAGGCCUCGCCCUUGAAGUUACCCCAAUUCUUCAAGAACACUUCAGGUUCCGUAAUUACAAUGAACUGUUAGCCAACAGUAAUACCCAACUUCCAGCUCACUUCUAUCAAGAGCAGUAUCAGUGACUCUUCACAAGGAAAAGACUGGUUUGAUGGCGACCAUUCAAAACGAUAAUGAUGUGUCCGUGUCGUUAAGAAUGUUUGACGCACAAGCUGUGUCGUUUCAUAUCCACCUGGCCCGCUUCAAGGGU